rnacentral:rRNA from 1 species
ACGUACGCUGGCGGCACGCCUAACACAUGCAAGUCGAACGCAGUAGCAAUACUGAGUGGCAAACGGGUGAGUAUAAUGUGGGAAUCUGCCUUUUGGUUUGGAAUAACACGGGGGAAACUUGUGCUAAUACCGUAUACGCCCUCCGGGGGAAAGGUCAGCCGCUAAAAGAGGGGCCCGCGUCUGAUUAGCUUGUUGGUGAGGUAAAGGCUCACCAAGGCGACGAUCUUUAGCUGGUCUGAGAGGACGAUCAGCCACAUUGGGACUGAGACACGGCCCAGACUCCUACGGGAGGCAGCAGUGGGGAAUCUUAG